UCUUAGAACUGGCAGGGCUGUCGUCCCAC
rnacentral:piRNA from 1 species